GAUGAACGCUGGCGGCGUGCCUAAUACAUGCCAGUCGAGCGAACGGACGAGAAGCUUGCUUCUCUGAUGUUAGCGGCGGACGGGUGAGUAACACGUGGAUAACCUACCUAUAAGACUGGGAUAACUUCGGGAAACCGGAGCUAAUACCGGAUAAUAUUUUGAACCGCAUGGUUCAAAAGUGAAAGACGGCCUUGCUGUCACUUAUAGAUGGAUCCGCGCUGCAUUAGCUAGUUGGUAAGGUAACGGCUUACCAAGGCAACGAUGCAUAGCCGACCUGAGAGGGUGAUCGGCCACACUGGAACUGAGACACGGUCCAGACUCCUACGGGAGGCAGCAGUAGGGAAUCUUCCGCAAUGGGCGAAAGCCUGACGGAGCAACGCCGCGUGAGUGAUGAAGGUCUUCGGAUCGUAAAACUCUGUUAUUAGGGAAGAACAUAUGUGUAAGUAACUGUGCACAUCUUGACGGUACCUAAUCAGAAAGCCACGGCUAACUACGUG
rnacentral:rRNA from 1 species